CACACCGGCUUGCAGCCUCAGUGAUGCUCAUCUAGUGCGGGUCCUGCGUGGUCCCCAGAGGAACCCAGUGAGAAAUCCGGAGGAGACGGACAGAGAGGAGGCUGACAGUUCCUUUUGUAUUACAACGUCAUGAUUACAAAUAAUCAUAAUAGAGUGCCCAUUUUAAAGUGGCCUUUCCCUCCAAGCACACAGGAGACUCCCUCAGAUUCCCUAGGAGACCAAAGAAAUACUGAAUCUACUCCACAAAAGGUACUUGGUUGGCUGCUUCCCCAGGAACAUCCCUCCAUCCUCACGGGUGUCCCGCCAUGGACCUCGGGGAGCCCUGGACAAACAUGCAUGUGUGCGACGCUUGUAACAAACCUGCAAGGUAGACCUCAUACAGCCCAUUUUUGGAAGAGGGAGUUGAGUUUUAGAGCAUUUACAUAAUUUGCCCAAGGUCACAAGACAGCUACUCAGUGGUAGAAAGAUACUUCAAACGCAGUUCUGCUGGGCUCCCACUCCUGCACUAGAACCAUUAUGCGGCAGUAUCUAUCAUCGUGUCCUCGCAGUGACCUCCGAAGAGAGGCUGUACUGCAGGCGAGGAAAGACAAAGUGACUCGCUCCAGGCUGUCCAGCUCCCGAGUGACCGGCUCAGCCUUCCCACCCAGCUCCCCUACCCUGGCGUCCAAGAUCUCAUUCCUUGCCUCCCUCUUAACUGACUUGAACACCUGAAUGGUGUCUUCGAGUAAAUGUAACAGUCAUAAGAGGACAAACAAAAACCCUUGCCUAAUACUCAGUCCCCAGUAUUUCCCGCUUUUCAUCAUUCCAUUCCUUUAGCUGUCUUAGAAAGGCGGUUUCAGUGUAUAAAUGUAGCAGGUGGAAGAAGCUGUUGUCUUGCUCAGAGGCCGGAAAGCUGCUGACAUUUCCUCCUUCUCUGUUGAGUUAAUCAGAAAUUAUUUGGCAGGAGACCUGGGUAUUUUAGAAGGCAGCCUUGGGUGGGCUGACCAUCGGAAAAAGC
rnacentral:lncRNA from 1 species